UGUGAAUUGUGAGUUCCUAUUCUUCCCCAAUUCCUUCUCGGCACAGUAUUUGGUCCUGAAUUUAAUGUCUAACUUGUUAUUAAUUUGUAAAUUUGAGGAUAUGGGUUUUGAACCGGAUGUCUGGAUCGGAGAACAAUUCUCAAUUUCUCAUCUUAAAGUUGAAUCACUGAUUCAUUAGUCAUUACUUCAAAAAUCAGGAAUUAGACUAUUAGAGCAUAAACACCAUUUGUUAGAGGCUAUUACAUUUACGGGAUGGACUGAUGGAGGCUAGAGGCUGGAGGCUGGAGGGAUCUGCAAAUAAGUUGUAAUUUAGGAUAAUUCGCUGGUGAUUUCUGUGCUUUAUUUCAAAAGGAUUCCUACUUUCAUGUGGGGAUUAAUUACUUUCCAUUUAAAUAACAACUCCUCAAAUUAUGGGGCUUUAUUUCAAAUUACAUAUAUGUGAUUUAGGCAUUUAGCUUAGAAUGUUAUUGGAUUCGCC
rnacentral:lncRNA from 1 species